CUCAAAUUGGAAAGAAACCUGUAAUUGCCCAGUGGAUAUUUCAAAUACACUUAACUUUGCUAUUUCAAGCCACAGACACCAAAUGGACACAAAGGUCAUUCAAACUGUUAGCGCCAUGGACAAAGAUGAUCCCAAAAACGGACAUUAUUUCUUAUACAGUCUCCUUCCAGAAAUGGUCAACAAUCCGAAUUUCACCAUCAAGAAAAAUGAAGAUCAGAAAUCCAUGAGUUUUGCUUCAUAGACCACUACUUACCUGGCACCUGAAUAGGAAAUUUGAGGUCUCCAGAAAACUACUCUUCCUCAGCCUGAACACUGUAGGUAAAA
rnacentral:sRNA from 1 species